rnacentral:rRNA from 1 species
UACGUAUGUCGCAAGCGUUAUCCGGGAAUUAUUGGGCAUAAAGGGCGUCUAGGCGGUCUAGUAAGUCUGAUGUGAAAAUGCGGGGGCUCAACUCCGUAUUGCGUUGGAAACUGCUAGACUAGAGUUUUUGGAGAGGUAGGCGGAACUACAAGUGUAGAGGUGAAAUUCGUAGAGAUUUGUAGGAAUGCCGAUGACGAAGGUAGCUUACUGGACAAAAUACUGACGCUGAAAGCGCGAAAAGCUAGGGGAGCAAAACAGG